GAUACAUUUGAUCAAGCCCAACUGUGCGAUGUAGUAGGGAGUUGUAGUUUCCAACAGGCCAAUAUUCUACAUGAUUUAGCACAGAAAACAGGGAACAGGCUGUCUUGGGAAAUCUCUUUUCUAAAAUGGAAACCCAGUUUGAGUUCACUAACGAUCCUGUCCUACUGAUUUCUCUCCUGUGCUGUCGAACAGUUUGCCUCUGAGGUGAGGUUUGAAGGCUUCUCCCUCCGAGCCCAGGAUAGAGAGACAUGGUACAGCCUGCUGCCUUCUGAUCCAGGAUCCCAUAACAACUCUGACCACAAGCUACACUCAGAGGUGUUCCAUUACUUCCGGUCUGUUCUAGACCUGGUUCAGUUGGUGACGGUGACAGAUAUUCCCAGCUUCCUGCGCUCCAGCACAGAGUUUCACCUAGAACUAUCCUCCAAAUCACUGAGAGAUAAACGGCUCCUUGAUCAGUUCAGAUCACUGUCUGGAAAGGUA